GACUCUCGGCAACGGAUAUCUCGGCUCUCGCAUCGAUGAAGAACGUAGCGAAAUGCGAUACUUGGUGUGAAUUGCAGAAUCCCGUGAACCAUCGAGUCUUUGAACGCAAGUUGCGCCCGAAGCUGUUAGGCUGAGGGCACGCCUGCCUGGGUGUCGCACAUCGUUGCC
rnacentral:rRNA from 1 species